rnacentral:rRNA from 1 species
UACAGAGGUCCCGAGCGUUGUUCGGAUUCACUGGGCGUAAAGGGUGCGUAGGUGGCGUGGUAAGUUUGAUGUGAAAGCUCAGGGCUUAACCCUGAAAUGGCAUUGAAUACUGCCUGGCUGGAGGUUUGGAGGGGGGACUGGAAUUCUUGGUGUAGCAGUGAAAUGCGUAGAUAUCAAGAGGAACACCAGUGGCGAAGGCGAGUCCCUGGACAACACCUGACACUGAGGCACGAAAGCCGGGGGAGCAAACAGG